AAUACAUCAACACUGGCUAGCCUGCCAAAAACACUGAAAUACACGGAAAGAGAUCAUAAAUUAGUAAAUUGUCAACUCUUCUUAAUAUGAAUCUCCAGUGCCAGACACAGUUAUAAUAGUAAAAGCAGGUUACCUAAAAAUAAGUGCCAGAGUCUAAUCAAAAAGCGGAGGGCAGUUUUUAUUUUAACUGGGUUUGUAGAAGUAAUCUCGAUUUUAGAGAGGCCACCAUGAUUUAACUUGGACACUUGAAAACCUUACACAUUUCAAAUUUCAGUGUUCAUCUGGGGAACUAUAAUACCACACAGUAGAAUCUUUAUUAAAUCAGUGCAUUCAUUUAUUUGAGAUAAAAUGUUUUAUUCAAUCAUUGUAUUUUGAUAGAGUAGACUAUAGCACACCAACGCGAGAUAAUGGAUUGAACAGAGCAUCCUUGAAGGAGAAUCACUUGCUUCAGAUCACCUCUCUUUUCCUCAGGAGACAUUCCGCUUCCAACAUCCGCACAAAUUCCAAACCUUGGGCAGAAAGAUGCACCAGUGAUACCUGGUGCAACAAAUCAGAUUUUGAUUCACCUCCCUAUAAAACUUGGGGAGGGGUGAAUCAAAUAAUCCCUGCUUAAAAUACCACAGUGUCAUCUUUUAACCUAUCUAGGAAGAUCGGCUCUGCUGCUUUUAUGGCAGCUCAGCCAUGUGUACUGCAAAGGCUCGCUAGCAUCGAGGCUAUCAUUUCGACAGCUUUCAGGAAGAGAGAAGCAGAAAGUUAUAUUCCACUAGUUUUCCUCCUGUCGUCCUGCUUAAUCAUUCCGUUUAAUCUCCUUUUCUGUAAUUAAAGACUUUGUAGCACAUGCUGAUGCAUGUCUACUCAGAAGUAAGUCUAAUUUAUAUUAGUGGGACUAAACAACAACUCCCAGGUAAGUGUGUAUAGAUAGCACUGUAGCUUUAAUCAUGCAGGAAGUUUAUUCAGGUCGGUUACCUAUUACAUAAAUUGUUUGUAUGUAAUGGUUGUUAUUAUUACUACUAAUAUAUUGUCUUGAUAUUCAUCUCUUGAUACAAUGAAAAAGAGACACACAGGGAGGGAGAGAGGGAGAGAGAGAGAGAGAGAGAGAGAGAGAGAGAGA